rnacentral:rRNA from 1 species
AAUGAACGCUGGCGGCAGGCCUAACACAUGCAAGUCGAACGGAUCCUUCGGGAUUAGUGGCGGACGGGUGAGUAACGCGUGGGAACAUACCCAAAGGUACGGAAUAGCCUCGGGAAACUGGGAGUAAUACCGUAUGUGCUCGAAAGAGGAAAGAUUUAUCGCCUUUGGAUUGGCCCGCGUUGGAUUAGGUAGUUGGUGGGGUAAUGGCCUACCAAGCCGACGAUCCAUAGCUGGUUUGAGAGGAAGAUCAGCCACACUGGGACUGAGACACGGCCCAGACUCCUACGGGAGGCAGCAGUGGGGAAUCUUAGACAAUGGGGGAAACCCUGAUCUAGCCAUGCCGCGUGAUCGAUGAAGGCCUUAGGGUUGUAAAGAUCUUUCAGUGGGGAAGAUAAUGACUGUACCCACAGAAGAAGCCCCGGCUAACUCCGUGCCAGCAGCAGCCGCCG